rnacentral:ncRNA from 1 species
UUAAAUGCUAUGAAGAGGAAGAGUAGCUAUAAUUAUGAUUAUAGCGAGUUAGGGAUGGUGGAAGCCUAACAUCGGAUAUUAUAGUGAAGACACCUCAGAGCAUACUACCUGAAAUUAUAGUAGGGUAGUACGUACUAGGCGUUAACUAGUAAAGUGGGUUUUUCCAAGUAGGGUGGUACCGCGGGAAUGUUGACCUCUCGUCCCUUUU